rfam:Leclercia adecarboxylata strain I1 Leclercia_S84_R1__paired__contig_43, whole genome shotgun sequence.
UCUUUUAGAAUCCGGCCCACGUAGAGUGCCUGGGUGGUGAAUCCCCCUAAGCGGUGGGGCGGCCAGGCAAAAGCAGUCGGGUUUUUUGAACGCGGUUCUGUGGUCUGGCACAGAGUCACCGGGAGGCACCCGGCACUACAAUGCCAUCACAAUAGUGUUCUUAGGCUGCCAUUGGGUGGCCUUUUUACCCU